AGAGUUUGAUCAUGGCUCAGAACGUACGCUGGCGGCACGCCUAACACAUGCAAGUCGAACGAAGUAGCAAUACUUAGUGGCAGACGGGUGAGUAACAUGUGGGUAUCUGCCCUUUGGCCUGGAAUAACACGAGGAAACUUGUGCUAAUACCGGAUAAGUCUUUACGGAGAAAGCUUUAUGCACCAUUGGAUGAGCCCGCACUUGAUUAGUUUGUUGGUGGGGUAAUGGCCUACCAAGACUGUGAUCAAUAGCUGAUUUGAGAGGAUGAUCAGCCACAUUGGGACUGAGACACGGCCCAAACUCCUACGGGAGGCAGCAGUGGGGAAUCUUGCACAAUGGAGGAAACUCUGAUGCAGCGAUGCCGCGUGAGUGAAGAAGGCCCUUGGGUUGUAAAGCUCUUUCGUCGGGGAAGAAAAUGACUGUACCCGAAUAAGAAGGUCCGGCUAACUUCGUGCCAGCAGCCGCGGUAAUACGAAGGGACCUAGCGUAGUUCGGAAUUACUGGGCUUAAAGAGUUCGUAGGUGGUUGAAAAAGUUAGUGGUGAAAUCCCAGAGCUUAACUCUGGAACUGCCAUUAAAACUUUUCAGCUAGAGUAUGAUAGAGGAAAGCAGAAUUUCUAGUGUAGAGGUGAAAUUCGUAGAUAUUAGAAAGAAUACCAAUUGCGAAGGCAGCUUUCUGGAUCAUUACUGACACUGAGGAACGAAAGCAUGGGUAGCGAAGAGGAUUAGAUACCCUCGUAGUCCAUGCCGUAAACGAUGUGUGUUAGACGUUGGAAAUUUAUUUUCAGUGUCGCAGCGAAAGCGAUAAACACACCGCCUGGGGAGUACGACCGCAAGGUUAAAACUCAAAUGAAUUGACGGGGACCCGCACAAGUAGUGGAGCAUGUGGUUUAAUUCGAAGAUACGCGCAGAACCUUACCAACACUUGACAUGUUCGUCGCGACUCUAAGAGAUUAGAGUUUUCGGUUCGGCCGGACGAAACACAGGUGCUGCAUGGCUGUCGUCAGCUCGUGUCGUGAGAUGUUGGGU
rnacentral:rRNA from 1 species